rnacentral:rRNA from 1 species
AUAAAACAGGGGCACCGCAUGGUGCUAUUUGUUAAAGAAAUUCGCUGAUAGAUGGGCAUGCGUUCCAUUAGGUAGUUGGUGAGGUAACGGCUCACCAAGCCGACGAUGGAUAGGGGAACUGAGAGGUUGGUCCCCCACACUGGUACUGAGACACGGACCAGACUCCUACGGGAGGCAGCAGUGAGGAAUAUUGGUCAAUGGGCGAGAGCCUGAACCAGCCAAGUCGCGUGAAGGAAGAAGGAUCUAUGGUUCGUAAACUUCUUUUGCAGGGGAAUAAAGUGCGGGACGUGUCCUGUUUUGUAUGUACCCUGAGAAUAAGGAUCGGCUAACUCCGUGCCAGCAGCCGCGGUAAUACGGAGGAUCCGAGCGUUAUCCGGAUUUAUUGGGUUUAAAGGGUGCGUAGGUGGUUUUAUAAGUCAGCGGUGAAAGUUUGCAGCUUAACUGUAAAAAUGCCGUUGAAACUGUAAGACUUGAGUGUAAAUGAGGUAGGCGGAAUGCGUGGUGUAGCGGUGAAAUGCAUAGAUAUCACGAAGAACUCCGAUUG